rnacentral:misc_RNA from 1 species
UUUCCGUAGGUGAACCUGCGGAAGGAUCAUUAUUGUAUAACCGAGGUGCGAGGGCUGUCGCUGAGCCCACAGUUCGUGCACGCACGAGUGCCCUCACAACCAUCCAGCUCACCCCUUUGUGCACCACCGCGUGGGUCCCCCUUGGGCUUGUUCGGAGGGGGGCUUACGUUUUCACACAAACUUUGUAUGCAGUGUAGAAUGUAUUUUUUGUUUCUGCGAUCACGCAAUCAAUACAACUUUCAACAACGGAUCUCUUGGCUCUC